rnacentral:rRNA from 1 species
AGAAUCAACGCUGGCGGCGUGCCUAACACAUGCAAGUCGCACGAGAAAGGGGAGCAAUCCCUGAGUAAAGUGGCGCACGGGUGAGUAACACGUGAAUAAUCUACCUCCGAGUGGGGAAUAACUGAGAGAAAUCUUAGCUAAUACCGCAUAACACUUACGAGUCAAAGCAGCAAUGCGCUUGGAGAGGAGUUCGCGGCCGAUUAGUUAGUUGGCGGGGUAAUGGCCCACCAAGACGAUGAUCGGUAUCCGGCCUGAGAGGGCGCACGGACACACUGGAACUGAAACACGGUCCAGACUCCUACGGGAGGCAGCAGUGGGGAAUUUUGCGCAAUGGGGAAACCCUGACGCAGCAACGCCGCGUGGAGGAUGAAGCCCCUUGGGGUGUAAACUCCUUCGAUCGGGAAGAUAAUGACGGUACCGAUAUAAGAAGCCCCGGACUAACUUCGUGCCAGCAGCCGC